UACGUAGGUGGCGAGCGUUGUCCGGAUUUAUUGGGCGUAAAGCGCGCGCAGGUGGUCCGUUAAGUCCUGUGUGAAAUCUCCCGGCUCACCCGGGAGGGGGCGCGGGAUACUGGGGGACUGGAGGCAGGCAGAGGCUGGUGGAAUUCCCGGUGUAGUGGUGAAAUGCGUAGAGAUCGGGAGGAACACCAGUGGCGAAAGCGGCCGGCUGGGCGUGUUCUGACACUGAGGCGCGAAAGCGUGGGGAGCGAACAGG
rnacentral:rRNA from 1 species